GGCUCAAGAUGAACGCUGGCCGCGUGCUUAACACAUGCAAGUCGAUCGAUGAAGCCCAGCUUGCUGGGUGGAUUAGUGGCGAACGGGUGAGUAACACGUGAGUAACCUGCCCUUAACUCUGCGAUAAGCCUGGGACACUGGGUCUAAUACCGGAUAGGAGCGUCCACCGCAUGGUGGGUGUACGAAAGAUUUAUCGGUUUUGGAUGGACUCGCGGCCUAUCAGCUGGUUGGUGAGGUAAUGGCUCACCAAGGCGACGACGUGUAGCCGGCCUGAGAGGGUGACCGGCCACACUGGGACUGAGACACGGCUCAGACUCCUACGGGAGGCAGCAGUGGGGAAUAUUGCACAAUGGGCGAAAGCCUGAUGCAGCGACGCCGCGUGAGGGAUGACGGCCUUCGGGUAGUAAACCUCUUUCAGUAGGGAAGAAGCGAAAGUGACUGUACCUGCAGAAGAGGCACCGGCUAACUACGUGCCAGUAGCCGCGGUAAUACGUAGGGUGCGAGCGUUAUCCGGAAUUAUUGGGCGUACCGAGCUCGUAGGCGGUUUGUCGCGUCUGUCGUGAAAGUCCGGGGCUUAACAACGGAUCUGCGGUGGGUACGGGCAGACUAGAGUGCAGUAGGGGAGACUGGAAUUCCUGGUGUAGCGGUGGAAUGCGCAGAUAUCAGGAGCAACACCGAUGGCGAAGGCAGGUAUCUGGGCUGUAACUGACGCUGAGGAGCGACAGCAUGGGGAGCGAUCAGGAUUAGAUACCCUGGUAGUCCAUGCCGUAAACGUUGGGCACUAGGUGUGGGGACGAUUCCACGGUUUCCGCGCCGCAGCUAACGCAUUAAGUGCCCCGCCUGGGGAGUACGGCCGCAAGGCUAGCACUCAAAGGAAUUGACGGGGGCCCGCACAAGCGGCGGAGCAUGCGGAUUAAUUCGAUGCAACGCGAAGAACCUUACCAAGGCUUGACAUGUUCACGAUCGCCGUAGAGAUACGAUUUCCCCUUUGGGGCGGGUUCACAGGUGGUGCAUGGUUGUCGUCAGCUCGUGUCGUGAGAUGUUGGGUUAAGUCCCGCAACGAGCGCAACCCUCGUUCCAUGUUGCCAGCACGUAAUGGUGGGGACUCAUGGGAGACUGCCGGGGUCAACUCGGAGGAAGGUGAGGACGACGUCAAAUCAUCAUGCCCCUUAUGUCUUGGGCUUCACGCAUGCUACAAUGGCCGGUACAAUGGGUUGCGAUACUGUGAGGUGGAGCUAAUCCCAAAAAGCCGGUCUCAGUUCGGAUUGGGGUCUGCAACUCGACCCCAUGAAGUCGGAGUCGCUAGUAAUCGCAGAUCAGCAACGCUGCGGUGAAUACGUUCCCGGGCCUUGUACACACCGCCCGUCAAGUCACGAAAGUCGGUAACACCCGAAGCCGGUGGCCUAACCCUUGUGGGA
rnacentral:rRNA from 1 species